ensembl:lncRNA
CAGGGUUCAUUGUGCAUGGUUACAGAGUUCAUUCUGCGGGGUUACAGGGUUCAUUCGGUUCAUUCUGCGUAGUUACAGGGUUCAUUGUGCAUGGUUACAGGGUUCAUUGUGCGUGGUUACAGGGUUCAUUCUGCGGGGUUACAGGGUUCAUUCUGCGUGGUUACAGGGUUCAUUCUGCGUGGUUAUAGGGUUCAUUGUCCGUAGUUACAGGGUUCAUUGUGCGUGGUUACAGGGUUCAUUCUGUGUGGUUACAGGGUUCAUUCUGCUGGGUUACAGGGUUAAUUCUGCGUUGUUACAGGGUUCAUUGUGCGUGGUUACAGGGUUCAUUGUGCGUGGUUACAGGGUUCAUUGUGCG